GAGACACCCUUCUGGGGCAAGACUUGCUUCAGUGGGGCUUUGGUGCUCACUGAGUCUGCCCCCUGAGUGUUGUAACC
rfam:Myotis lucifugus cont2.32641, whole genome shotgun sequence.